rnacentral:lncRNA from 1 species
UUACACCCUGAAAAUACAAGACAUUGUUGAAAGAAAUGAAAGAUCUUCUCAAUAAAUCCCCGAGCAUCCCAUGUUCAUGAACUGGAAGGCUCACUGUUUAAAAACUAAUCCUUGGUAGCUAAAGCUAUCCUCAACAAUAAAAGGACUUCAGGGGGAAUCACUAUCCCUGAACUCAAGCAGUAUUACAGAGCAAUAGUGAUAAAAACUGCGUGGUAUUGGUACAGAGACAGACAGAUAGACCAAUGGAAUAGAAUUGAAGACCCAGAAAUGAACCCACACACCUAUGGUCACUUGAUUUUUGACAAAGGAGCCAAAACCAUCCAAUGGAAAAAAGAUAGCAUUUUCAGCAAAUGGUGCUGGUUCAACUGGAGGGCAACAUGUAGAAGAAUGCAGAUCGAUCCAUCCUUAUCACCCUGUACAAAGCUUAAGUCCAAGUGGAUCAAGGACCUCCACAUCAAACCAGACACGCUCAAACUAAUAGAAGAAAAACUAGGGAAGCAUCUGGAACACAUAGGCACUGGAAAAAA